GUAGUCAUAUGCUUGUCUCAAAGAUUAAGCCAUGCAGGUCUAAGUGCACACGGUCGGUACAGUGAAACUGCGAAUGGCUCAUUAAAUCAGUUAUGGUUCCUUUGAUCGCUCCCACACGUUACUCGGAUAACUGUGGUAAUUCUAGAGCUAAUACAUGCUAACGAGCGCUGACUCGCCCUUCCGGGGGUGGGGAUGCGUGCAUUUAUCAGACUCAAAACCCAUCUUUGGUGACUCUAGAUAACCUCGGGCCGAUCGCGCGCCCUCCGCGGCGGCGACGUCUCAUUCAAAUGUCUGCCCUAUCAACUUUCGAUGGUACUAUAGAGGACUACCAUGGUGACCACGGGUGACGGGGAAUCAGGGUUCGAUUCCGGANAGGGAGCCUGAGAAAUGGCUACCACAUCCAAGGAAGGCAGCAGGCGCGCAAAUUACCCAUUACCGACACGGUGAGGUAGUGACGAAAAAUAACGAUACAGGUCUCUUUCGAGGCCCUGUAAUCGGAAUGAGCGUAUNCUAAACCCAUGGGUGANGANCCAUUGGGAGGGCAAGUUUGGGUGCCANCANCCGCGGUAAUUCCAGCUCCAAUANCGUAUAUUAAAGUUGNUGCAGUUUAAAAAGCCCUNAUUUGGAUCUCGGGAAUU
rnacentral:rRNA from 1 species